CAGCAUGUUUCCAAGGUUUAUAAUUGGUUGUAACCAGGGGAUCUCCAACUGCAUGCAAGAAUAACCUGGAAAGAUUUUGACAGCACAGCUCAGCAUAAUAGUAACUGCCACUCAACUUUCCUGUAUUU
ensembl:snoRNA